GGAGUGUCACCGUCACCCAUUCACCCAGGCCCUUCCAUUGGGAUUGUAGACCUCUUCCUGGAAUCUCUGAGCCAGAAGUGAUCAACCUUACACACUCAGCCAGGACUACCAUGCUGUCACUUUGUUAAAAAAAAUAUUGUUAAAAAAUACACCUCUGUGCUUGUGCAACAAAUACAGCAGGGUGCUGUAAUACCAGGAAACAAAAACCCACCUGUAACACAACAGACGAAAUAUCCAGACUGCUGUUCCAGCAUCUGGAUCUGCCUUAUGAAUUUUCUGUUCAUAAGUCCUUCCAUGUAUAGUUUAAACUUUUCCCUUGACAGACUUGCUGCUUCUAUAAGAACUGGCUCAAUUUCCCUUGGUUGCUGAAGCAGGAAUUCCAGACUCGUUUGUUUCUCCUGUAGAGGAAAACCAACUGUUGAUGCACAUUUCAGGUUGGCGUGUGAGACAGUGUGUGAUGUCCUGCCCAGGAGGGAUAAAUAUGGGAGAAGAAGCAGAGCGAAGCAGCCAACAAGAGGAUGCAAGUAUCCUGGCAGGACCAGUAUGUGCAGAAGUUACUUAAAAGCCAGCCAGUGGGCUCCCUGUGGGCUCAGCUUCCUCUGUGCUGAUCUGAUAUUCUCCAGCCAGUGUACCGGUGUGCCUUCUUUUGCUGUCUGGUCUGAUUGCUGGAUGUUACAUGUUUGUGAUUCUUUUUAGUAUUGCAAAAACUCUUUGACCCAUGCUAGCAAUGAGAUAAUUUUGUUCCAGGCUAGCCUGUGCUAUCACGUCCCACACUCAGAGAUUUCUGUGGCUGGAUGCCUGAGAUGACUUUAUACAUCUCUACAGGCUUUUCCAACUUUUCAUUUCUCCAUGGGUAUUUUGGUACAAGAGAAAACACAGAGGGAAAUUCUACGUAGCUUCAUUCUAUUCUCAGGUUGUCACGUCUAGCACUUAAUGACCAUUCUUUCCUAAACAGAGCGUUUUCCCUGGACAUUAUGAUUAAGGAAAUGAAAAUAAAUACUUGAUGGUUAAUCCCGCA
rnacentral:lncRNA from 1 species